rnacentral:rRNA from 1 species
AGUGAACGCUGGCGGUAGGCCUAACACAUGCAAGUCGAACGGCAGCACAGUAAGAGCUUGCUCUUACGGGUGGCGAGUGGCGGACGGGUGAGGAAUACAUCGGAAUCUACUUUUUCGUGGGGGAUAACGUAGGGAAACUUACGCUAAUACCGCAUACGACCUACGGGUGAAAGCAGGGGAUCUUCGGACCUUGCGCGAUUGAAUGAGCCGAUGUCGGAUUAGCUAGUUGGCGGGGUAAAGGCCCACCAAGGCGACGAUCCGUAGCUGGUCUGAGAGGAUGAUAAGCCACACUGGAACUGAGACACGGUCAAGACUCCUACGGGAGGCAGCAGUGGGGAAUAUUGGACAAUGGGCGCAAGCAUGAUCCAGCCAUACCGCGUGGGUGAAGAAGGCCUUCGGGUUGUAAAGCCCUUUUGUUGGGAAAGAAAAGCAGCAGGUUAAUACCCCGCUGUUCUGACGGUACCCAAAGAAUAAGCACCGGCUAACUUCGUG